rnacentral:rRNA from 1 species
GACAGAGGGUGCAAACGUUGUUCGGAAUUACUGGGCGUAAAGCGCGUGUAGGCGGCCAUCUAAGUCGGGCGUGAAAUCCCACGGCUCAACCGUGGAAGUGCACUCGAAACUGGAUGGCUAGAGUCCUGGAGAGGAAGGUGGAAUGCUUGGUGUAGGUGAAAUUCGUAGAUAUCAAGCGGAACACCGGUGGCAAAGGCGGCCUUCUGGACAGUGACUGACGCUGAGACGCGAAAGCGUGGGGAGCAAACAGG